AUGUCCGUGUGAGGGUUCAAGGCCAAGCUGAAGUUGUUGGCCUCUAUCUUCCACAAGAACCAGGAGCCGCCGCCGCAGCUCACGCUCCACUGCAACAUCACGGAAUCCUAUUCAUCUUCUUCACCGAUAUGGUCUGUGGACUCUGAUGAGCCAAAUCUGACAUCAGUUCUGGAACGUCUAGAAGAUACUAAGGAGAACAGUUCG
rnacentral:lncRNA from 1 species